rnacentral:rRNA from 1 species
CCUACGGGAGGCAGCAGUGAGGAAUAUUGGUCAAUGGACGAGAGUCUGAACCAGCCAAGUAGCGUGAAGGAUGACUGCCCUAUGGGUUGUAAACUUCUUUUAUAUGGGAAUAAAAUGUUCCACGUGUGGGCUUUUGUAUGUACCAUAUGAAUAAGGAUCGGCUAACUCCGUGCCAGCAGCCGCGGUAAUACGGAGGAUCCGAGCGUUUUCCGGAUUUAUUGGGUUUAAAGGGAGCGUAGGUGGAUUGGUAAGUCAGUUGUGAAAGUUUGCGGCUCAACCGUAAAAUUGCAGUUGAAACUGGCAGUCUUGAGUACAGUAGAGGUGGGCGGAAUUCGUGGUGUAGCGGUGAAAUGCUUAGAUAUCACGAAGAACUCCGAUUGCGAAGGCAGCUCACUGGACUGCAACUGACACUGAGGCUCGAAAGUGUGGGUAUCAAACAGGAUUAGAUACCCGUGUAGUC